rnacentral:rRNA from 1 species
GACAGAGGGUGCAAACGUUGCUCGGAAUCACUGGGCGUAAAGGGCGUGUAGGCGGGUAGAUAAGUCGGGCGUGAAAUCCCUAGGCUCAACCUAGGAACUGCACUCGAAACUGUUUAUCUUGAGUGCCGGAGAGGAAAGCGGAAUUCCUGGUGUAGAGGUGAAAUUCGUAGAUAUCAGGAGGAACACCAGUGGCGAAGGCGGCUUUCUG